CUUCAACGAGCCGAGCAGCAGCGGCUGUUCGGCAGGACGGUCCUGCCCGUACGUGGCCAGGAGCGCCUGCGCCUC
rnacentral:antisense_RNA from 1 species